rnacentral:rRNA from 1 species
UGGGGGAUAUUACACAAUGGGCGAAAGCCUGAUGCAGCGACGCCGCGUGGGGGAUGAAGGCUUUCGGGUUGUAAACCUCUUUCGCUAUCGAACAAGGCCCGCUUAGGGUGGGUUGAGGGUAGGUGGAGAAGAAGCGCCGGCUAACUACGUGCCAGCAGCCGCGGUAAUACGUAGGGCGCGAGCGUUGUCCGGAAUUAUUGGGCGUAAAGGGCUUGUAGGCGGCUUGUUGCGCCUGCUGUGAAAACGCGGGGCUUAACUUCGCGCGUGCAGUGGGUACGGGCAGGCUUGAGUGUGGUAGGGGUGACUGGAAUUCCAGGUGUAGCAGUGGAAUGCGCAGAUAUCUGGAGGAACACCGAUGGCGAAGGCAGGUCACUGGGCCAUUACUGACGCUGAGGAGCGAAAGCAUGGGUAGCGAACAGG